rnacentral:rRNA from 1 species
UAUACGCUUCUUGGAGGGCAAGUCUGGUGCCAGCAGCCGCGGUAAUUCCAGCUCCAAUAGCGUAUAUUAAAGUUGCUGCAGUUAAAAAGCUCGUAGUUGAAUUUCGGGACCAUCAUGUCGGUCGUGCCUCGGUACGUACUGGUAUUGUUGGUUUCUCCCUUCUGACGAACCAUGAUGUCAUUUAUUUGGUGUUGUGGGGAAUCUAGGACUGUUACUU